AAAUUUGCCAGGACAAUAUUCUUUCCCUAGUGUUUUCUGAACAGGUUUGAAUUGGGAUGGUAAAUACAUACUAGGUCAGCAUUUGACAGUAGGGGUUUCGAUCUUGUAAUAGAAGCCCAAAGCUACUGCUUCACUCUUUCUUUUCUGAAACUAACUUAACUAAAAGGGCGUGAACAUUGGAUGGUCUUAAAUAGGAUCAGAAAGACAGGGAAGCAUCCCCUAUGAGAUGACUUCCUCAAUGCCUUCCAGCCUGUCUGUGGCAAACCUGGGAAGAAUACAAAUAAAAUGCCAUGAAUCCCAAAAGAGAUGGGCAUCUGUGAUGGUCUUCAUCUGUCCGUGUUUAGACAACUAA
rnacentral:lncRNA from 1 species